AUUGAACGCUGGCGGCAGGCCUAACACAUGCAAGUCGAACGGUAACAGGAAGCAGCUUGCUGCUUUGCUGACGAGUGGCGGACGGGUGAGUAAUGUCUGGGAAACUGCCUGAUGGAGGGGGAUAACUACUGGAAACGGUAGCUAAUACCGCAUAACGUCGCAAGACCAAAGAGGGGGACCUUCGGGCCUCUUGCCAUCGGAUGUGCCCAGAUGGGAUUAGCUAGUAGGUGGGGUAACGGCUCACCUAGGCGACGAUCCCUAGCUGGUCUGAGAGGAUGACCAGCCACACUGGAACUCAGACACGGUCCAGACUCCUACGGGAGGCAGCAGUGGGGAAUAUUGCACAAUGGGCGCAAGCCUGAUGCAGCCAUGCCGCGUGUAUGAAGAAGGCCUUCGGGUUGUAAAGUACUUUCAGCGGGGAGGAAGGGAGUAAAGUUAAUACCUUUGCUCAUUGACGUUACCCGCAGAAGAAGCACCGGCUAACUCCGUG
rnacentral:rRNA from 1 species